GGGUUGUGAGGUUAAGCGACUAAGCGUACACGGUGGAUGCCCUGGCAGUCAGAGGCGAUGAAGGACGUGCUAAUCUGCGAUAAGCGUCGGUGAGGUGAUAUGAACCGUUAUAACCGGCGAUUUCCGAAUGGGGAAACCCAGUGUGAUUCGUCACACUAUCAUUAACUGAAUCCAUAGGUUAAUGAGGCGAACCGGGGGAACUGAAACAUCUAAGUACCCCGAGGAAAAGAAAUCAACCGAGAUUCCCCCAGUAGCGGCGAGCGAACGGGGAGGAGCCCAGAGCCUGAAUCAGUGUGUGUGUUAGUGGAAGCGUCUGGAAAGGCGCGCGAUACAGGGUGACAGCCCCGUACACAAAAAUGCACACAUUGUGAGCUCGAUGAGUAGGGCGGGACACGUGGUAUCCUGUCUGAAUAUGGGGGGACCAUCCUCCAAGGCUAAAUACUCCUGACUGACCGAUAGUGAACCAGUACCGUGAGGGAAAGGCGAAAAGAACCCCGGCGAGGGGAGUGAAAAAGAACCUGAAACCGUGUACGUACAAGCAGUGGGAGCCUCUUAAUGGGGUGACUGCGUACCUUUUGUAUAAUGGGUCAGCGACUUAUAUUCUGUAGCAAGGUUAACCGAAUAGGGGAGCCGAAGGGAAACCGAGUCUUAACUGGGCGUUAAGUUGCAGGGUAUAGACCCGAAACCCGGUGAUCUAGCCAUGGGCAGGUUGAAGGUUGGGUAACACUAACUGGAGGACCGAACCGACUAAUGUUGAAAAAUUAGCGGAUGACUUGUGGCUGGGGGUGAAAGGCCAAUCAAACCGGGAGAUAGCUGGUUCUCCCCGAAAGCUAUUUAGGUAGCGCCUCGUGAAUUCAUCUCCGGGGGUAGAGCACUGUUUCGGCAAGGGGGUCAUCCCGACUUACCAACCCGAUGCAAACUGCGAAUACCGGAGAAUGUUAUCACGGGAGACACACGGCGGGUGCUAACGUCCGUCGUGAAGAGGGAAACAACCCAGACCGCCAGCUAAGGUCCCAAAGUCAUGGUUAAGUGGGAAACGAUGUGGGAAGGCCCAGACAGCCAGGAUGUUGGCUUAGAAGCAGCCAUCAUUUAAAGAAAGCGUAAUAGCUCACUGGUCGAGUCGGCCUGCGCGGAAGAUGUAACGGGGCUAAACCAUGCACCGAAGCUGCGGCAGCGACACUAUGUGUUGUUGGGUAGGGGAGCGUUCUGUAAGCCUGUGAAGGUGGCCUGUGAGGGUUGCUGGAGGUAUCAGAAGUGCGAAUGCUGACAUAAGUAACGAUAAAGCGGGUGAAAAGCCCGCUCGCCGGAAGACCAAGGGUUCCUGUCCAACGUUAAUCGGGGCAGGGUGAGUCGACCCCUAAGGCGAGGCCGAAAGGCGUAGUCGAUGGGAAACAGGUUAAUAUUCCUGUACUUGGUGUUACUGCGAAGGGGGGACGGAGAAGGCUAUGUUGGCCGGGCGACGGUUGUCCCGGUUUAAGCGUGUAGGCUGGUUUUCCAGGCAAAUCCGGAAAACCAAGGCUGAGGCGUGAUGACGAGGCACUACGGUGCUGAAGCAACAAAUGCCCUGCUUCCAGGAAAAGCCUCUAAGCAUCAGGUAACAUCAAAUCGUACCCCAAACCGACACAGGUGGUCAGGUAGAGAAUACCAAGGCGCUUGAGAGAACUCGGGUGAAGGAACUAGGCAAAAUGGUGCCGUAACUUCGGGAGAAGGCACGCUGAUAUGUAGGUGAAGCGACUUGCUCGUGGAGCUGAAAUCAGUCGAAGAUACCAGCUGGCUGCAACUGUUUAUUAAAAACACAGCACUGUGCAAACACGAAAGUGGACGUAUACGGUGUGACGCCUGCCCGGUGCCGGAA
rnacentral:rRNA from 1 species